rnacentral:rRNA from 1 species
GAUUCUGGCUCAGAACGAACGCUGGCGGCGUGGAUUAGGCAUGCAAGUCGAACGGGACUUUAUGUUGUAGCAAUACUUUAUAAAGUCUAGUGGCGUAAGGGUGAGUAACACGUGGGUAAUGUACCCGAUAGUUUGGGAUAACGUUCCGAAAGGGACGCUAAUACCGGAUGUGAUGUUAGACCGCCGGGUUUAACAAGAAAGGUGGGGACCGCAAGGCCCGCCGCUAACGGAACGGCCCGCGACCUAUUAGCUAGUUGGUGGGGUAAAGGCCUACCAAGGCGAGGAUGGGUAGCCGAACUGAGAGGUUGACCGGCCACACUGGGACUGAGACACUGCCCAGACUUCUACGGAAGGCUGCAGUCGAGAAUCAUUCACAAUGGACGAAAGUCUGAUGAUGCGACGCCGCGUGCGCGAUGAAGGUCUUCGGAUUGUAAAGCGCUUUGAACAGGGAAGAAUGCCGCGUAUUUAAUAGAUAACGCGGAGGGACAGUACCUGACAAACAAGCCCCGGCUAAUUUCGUGCCAGCAGCUGC